AUCUUAAAGGUACAUCCACUUGGAUUUGGAAGUUGUAACCAGCUAUGGGUUGGCUCACUAUAAAUUGUGGGAAGUUUGCUGGCUACAAUGGUGCCAAAGAGCUUUCAACCCAAAACUCAAUCAGUGGUACUAAAUUUAGUCUAAGGGCCUUUGCUAGGGUACUGCUUUCCUCUGCAGGGUUUGCUUCAGCAUUCCCUAUCAGUAGCUUGAUUUUGAUAUUCUUAUCCUUUGCUCUUAGACUCCCAUUUUUUUUCUGAUUUAUGUCCAAUAUUACUUGUUUAGUAGCUUAAAGUAACUUGACUUUCUUUAGUUCAAGAAUAUGACCAAACUAAUGAGUUUGUGACUUUGAUUUUUCUUAACUCGGUAAUUAAAUCACUUUGUAAGAUAUAAAUCCUAAUUGUAAUCUGCAGCUAUCUCAAGUUGGCAUAUCAAACUGUUGUCAAGUGGGUGAGACUGACAUUUUUAAAAUCUUGGCAACUUGAUUUGGAUGGUCAAAUACAAGCAGAAGAAGAAAAACUGAAAGAAAAGAAAUGGGCUUAAAUCUGUGACAGGCUGAGGAAACUGAAUGGAUAUGUCUAAAAAGUUUGUAUACUGCUAUCACUCUAGUCUACACCCGAACCUGCCAUUUGCUUCUCUUAAUUUCUUCAAAUCCAUGGUGAUGAUGUUUUUCCUUGAUCGGAUGGUAUGAAUAUGUGAUACUCAUAUUCUAUCCAUGCACCAACCACUUUUAGCAGUAUAUAACUAUGGAAAAGACCCGUGAUCCAAGCUGGAGGCAUCCAUGUGAUCAGCAGUAAUACUCAACUGUUUUCUUUUCUUUUUAUUUUGUUUAAAAUCCACAGUUUGUCUUCUUUUAAAGAUGUGGUAUAUCUCACCGGCAAAACCUAUACAUUUAAAGGAUUUAUCUAUGAUCUAUUGACUCAUCUUGUUUUUAAUUUAUUUGUAU